AGUGAACGCUGGCGGUAGGCCUAACACGUGCAAGUCGAACGGCAGCACAGGAGAGCUUGCUCUCUGGGUGGCGAGUGGCGGACGGGUGAGGAAUACAUCGGAAUCUACUCUGUCGUGGGGGAUAACGUAGGGAAACUUACGCUAAUACCGCAUACGACCUACGGGUGAAAGCAGGGGAUCUUCGGACCUUGCGCGAUUGAAUGAGCCGAUGUCGGAUUAGCUAGUUGGCGGGGUAAAGGCCCACCAAGGCGACGAUCCGUAGCUGGCCUGAGAGGAUGAUCAGCCACACUGGAACUGAGACACGGUCCAGACUCCUACGGGAGGCAGCAGUGGGGAAUAUUGGACAAUGGGCGCAAGCCUGAUCCAGCCAUACCGCGUGGGUGAAGAAGGCCUUCGGGUUGUAAAGCCCUUUUGUUGGGAAAGAAAUCCAGCUGGCUAAUACCCGGUUGGGAUGACGGUACCCAAAGAAUAAGCACCGGUUAACUUCGUGCCAGCCGCCGCAGUAA
rnacentral:rRNA from 1 species